rnacentral:rRNA from 1 species
GAUAAACGCUGGCGGUGUACAUAAGACAUGCAAGUCGAACGGGAGAAGACAGGAAGAUUUAUCUACUUGUUGGACACCGUGGCGGACGGGUGAGUAACACGUAAGCAACCUGCCUAUAAGAGGGGAAUAACAGUGAGAAAUUACUGAUAAUACCGCAUAAGCUGGAGGUAUCGCAUGAUACAUUCAGAAAAGAUUUAUCGCUUAUAGAUGGGCUUGCGUCUGAUUAGCUAGUUGGUGAGAUAACAGCUCACCAAGGCGACGAUCAGUAGCCGGAUUGAGAGGUUGAACGGCCACAUUGGGACUGAGACACGGCCCAGACUCCUACGGGAGGCAGCAGUCGGGAAUAUUGCACAAUGGAGGAAACUUCUUGAUGCAUGCGAC